UACGGAGGGGACUAGCGUUGUUCGGAAUUACUGGGCGUAAAGCGCGCGUAAGCGGAUUUGCAAGUCGGGGGUGAAAGCCCGAGGCUCAACCUCGGAACUGCCCUCGAUACUGCAAAUCUCGAGUCCGAGAGAGGUGAGUGGAAUUCCUAGUGUAGAGGUGAAAUUCGUAGAUAUUAGGAAGAACACCAGUGGCGAAGGCGGCUCACUGGCUCGGUACUGACGCUGAGGCGCGAAAGCGUGGGGAGCAAACAGG
rnacentral:rRNA from 1 species